rnacentral:rRNA from 1 species
AUUGAACGCUGGCGGCAUGCUUUACACGUGCAAGUCGAACGGUAACAGGUUAAGCUGACGAGUGGCGAACGGGUGAGUAAUGCAUCGGAACGUGCCCGGUCGUGGGGGAUAACGCAGCGAAAGCUGCGCUAAUACCGCAUACGAUCUGAGGAUGAAAGCGGGGGACCGUAAGGCCUCGCGCGAUCGGAGCGGCCGAUGUCAGAUUAGGUAGUUGGUGGGGUAAAGGCUCACCAAGCCGACGAUCUGUAGCUGGUCUGAGAGGACGACCAGCCACACUGGGACUGAGACACGGCCCAGACUCCUACGGGAGGCAGCAGUGGGGAAUUUUGGACGAUGGGCGCAAGCCUGAUCCAGCAAUGCCGCGUGCAGGAAGAAGGCCUUCGGGUUGUAAACUGCUUUUGUACGGAGCGAAAAGGUCUUCCCUAAUACGGGAGGCUGAUGACGGUACCGUAAGAAUAAGCACCGGCUAACUACGUGCCAGCAGCCGCAGUAACAC